GUAGGUGAACCUGCGGAAGGAUCAUUAGUCUAUGCCGUCCUGGAAACAGGCCACGGCGUCGGGUCUCGCUUUGAAAAAAGUGUGGGCUGUCUGAAAACCCUUGAAUAUAAAACUCUGUUGCUUUGGUGGGCCGCCUUUUUGGCGUUGGCCACGGCUGAUAGUGCCCGCCAGAGGCCAAAAACCCUACUGUCUUUGACGUCUGAGU
rnacentral:misc_RNA from 1 species